rnacentral:lncRNA from 1 species
UUGAUCCAGGACCUCAUAUAAUGCAAGUUUUUCUAAUCAUGGGAACCUUAUUGACUAAGCAAACAAAAGCUUGUAAUUUUUUAUCAUUGUUUGUCAGUACAUUCCAUAAUUUACAAGUUUGAAGUUGUAAUGGUCAAUGUUAAAGUUAUAUUAGGAAUACUAAUUUUACUAACCUUAUUUUUCUUUCAGAUGACAUUAAAGUAUCAGUAAAUGAUUUUAUCAUCAAGGCAGCAGCUGUUACCCUUAAACAAAUGCCAGAUGUUAAUGUAAGCUGGGAUGGAGAGGGCCCAAAGCAACUGCCAUUUAUUGACAUUUCAGUGGCUGUGGCAACAGAUAAAGGCUUACUUACUCCAAUCAUAAAAGAUGCUGCUGCUAAAGGUAUCCAGGAAAUUGCUGACUCUGUAAAGGUAUGUCUUAAGAAAGAGUGUGCUUUCAAAAUGUUAGCAUAUACUUUUGGAUAAUUACUUUCUGAUAAAGUUGUGACGUAAUCUAGUCAGACUGUGAUUUUUGUGUGUGUGAAGGGGAGAGUUAUUUCAUCAAGUGAUUGUCACAUAUAUAUA